rnacentral:rRNA from 1 species
GUCUUUUUGAAUGUUUAUUUAAAGUCUGGCCUGCCCAAUGUUUUAUAAAUGGCCGCAGUAUAUUAACUGUGCGAAGGUAGCAUAAUCAUUAGUUUUUUUAUUGAAAACUGGAAUGAAGGGUUGGAUGAAAAAAUUUCUGUCUCUUAUUUAUUUAUAGAAUUUUAUUUUUAAGUUAAAAAGCUUAAAUAUUUUUAAAAGACGAGAAGACCCCAUAGAAUUUUAUAGGUUAAUAUAUGAUUUGUUUAGGAAUUAAUAUUAUUUAUUUAUUAAUUUUUUUAAUUGGGGUGAUUAGAAAAUUAGUUGAACUUUUUUUAUUAUAUGUAUAUAAAUAUAUAGAUAAUUGAUCUUAAUUUUUAGAUUAUAAGAUUUAAUUACCUUGGGGAUAACAGCGUAAUUUUAUUUUAUAGUUCUAAUUGAAAAUAUAGUUUGCGACCUCGAUGUUGGAUUAAAGUUUUACUUUGGUGUAGAAGCUGAAGUUAUAAGUCUGUUCGACUUUUAAAAUUUUACA